GAUGAACGCUGGCGGCGUGCCUAAUACAUGCAAGUCGAGCGAACGGACGAGAAGCUUGCUUCUCUGAUGUUAGCGGCGGACGGGUGAGUAACACGUGGAUAACCUACCUAUAAGACUGGGAUAACUUCGGGAAACCGGCGCUAAUACCGGAUAAUAUUUUGAACCGCAGGGUUCAAAAGUGAAAGACGGUCUUGCUGUCACUUAUAGAUGGAUCUGCGCUGCAUUAGCUAGUUGGUAAGGUAACGGCUUACCAAGGCAACGAUGCAUAACCGACCUGAGAGGGUGAUCGGCCACACUGGAACUGAGACACGGUCCAGACUCCUACGGGAGGCAGCAGUAGGGAAUCUUCCGCAAUGGGCGAAAGCCUGACGGAGCAACGCCGCGUGAGUGAUGAAGGUCUUCGGAUCGUAAAACUCUGUUAUUAGGGAAGAACAGAUGUGUAAGUAACUGUGCACAUCUUGACGGUACCUAAUCAGAAAGCCACGGCUAACUACGUG
rnacentral:rRNA from 1 species